AAGUUGCGAUACAAAGCUCCUAGAACUGCUGGAUUGUAAAAAUUGCUCAACUCUUGGACGUUGUAUGCUUAUGUAAGGACCCUUUGCUUUAUGGUCAGUUAGGAUAUUUUUGCUCAAGUUUGUGAUCACCUUUGAAUUAUGCUAUCAAUUGUUUUGAAUGGAAAAUUGAUAAUUCGUGCUCUUGAAGAAAAUGCUAGAGCUUCCUACAAUUUGGACACUCUUUGAACUACAGAGCCGUUUGAAAAAGAACCAAUUCAGAUGCUGAUGAAAAAAGUUGAUGCAUUGAUGAAAGCCAUGGAGCGGAGUCUAUGCAAAUAAAGAAAGAAAGAAGCCGUAGCUAAAGAUAAAGAAGCUGUAGCAGCUAAGGUGGAUGCCAACAAAAAGAACAGAAUUAUAAACUCAUCUAAGAGGUUGUAAUCACUUUUCAACAGCCUCAAUACCAUUCUUUCCUUUUGUAUUUUGCUUCUGUAGCAUCAUCCCUUUCAAACAUUAAAAAUUUUCAAAUCUGAUCACCUGAAUAUAUGAUUGAUUUUAUGAUUUACUUCUAAUUGCUGGGGGUAACAAAAGCAUCUUGAAUGUUUGCUUACACGAGAUUUAUUGAAGAUCAUGUGGAGAUUUAG
rnacentral:lncRNA from 1 species